rnacentral:rRNA from 1 species
CCUACGGGUGGCAGCAGUGGGGAAUAUUGCGCAAUGGGGGGAACCCUGACGCAGCAACGCCGCGUGAAGGAUGAAGGCCCUCGGGUUGUAAACUUCUUUGAUUGGGGAAGAAAUUUGACGGUACCCAAAGAACAAGCCACGGCUAACUACGUGCCAGCAGCCGCGGUAAUACGUAGGUGGCGAGCGUUGUCCGGAAUUACUGGGUGUAAAGGGCGUGUAGGCGGGGAUGCAAGUCAGAUGUGAAAUUCCGGGGCUCAACCCCGGCACUGCAUCUGAAACUGUGUCUCUUGAGUGCUGGAGAGGAAAGUGGAAUUCCUAGUGUAGCGGUGAAAUGCGUAGAGAUUAGGAGGAACACCAGUGGCGAAGGCGACUUUCUGGACUGUAACUGACGCUGAGGCACGAAAGCGUGGGGAGCGAACAGGAUUAGAUACCCUAGUAGUC